rnacentral:rRNA from 1 species
GAUGAACGCUGGCGGCGUGCCUAAUACAUGCAAGUCGAGCGAACAGAUGAGGAGCUUGCUCCUCUGACGUUAGCGGCGGACGGGUGAGUAACACGUGGAUAACCUACCUAUAAGACUGGGAUAACUUCGGGAAACCGGAGCUAAUACCGGAUAAUAUAUUGAACCGCAUGGUUCAAUAGUGAAAGACGGUUUUGCUGUCACUUAUAGAUGGAUCCGCGCCGCAUUAGCUAGUUGGUAAGGUAACGGCUUACCAAGGCAACGAUGCGUAGCCGACCUGAGAGGGUGAUCGGCCACACUGGAACUGAGACACGGUCCAGACUCCUACGGGAGGCAGCAAUAGGGAAUCUUCCGCAAUGGGCGAAAGCCUGACGGAGCAACGCCGCGUGAGUGAUGAAGGUCUUCGGAUCGUAAAACUCUAUUAUUAGGGAAGAACAAAUGUGUAAGUAACUAUGCACGUCUUGACGGUACCUAAUCAGAAAGCCACGGCUAACUACGUG